UUUGAAGUGAAAGGAAAAAAAAAAGAAAAGAAAAGCAGCCCAGUUGUGCAGACAACUUAUUCCCCCAGCCCAGACCACAAAAGGGAACGCUAGGGAGGGGUGAGCCCAUCAACCUGCUGACUAUUUUGAAACAAAGAGUUAGGAUGGUAUAAAAACCUCAGGGAGCUUGGAGCCUGUCUCUUCCAACAGAAACGCUCUUGAAUUGCUGCUGGACUGCAAGAGGAGUGUGAUCUGUUUAGCAUGGAACCAGGAACUUUAAGCUGCAUUUCACCACCAGGCCAAGGUAAAAACCAUUUUAAGUAUAGAUGUGCUUAAUACUCUUAAAUUAAAAAAAAAAAAAAACCUUCAGGUAUUACACUGGU